CGGAGGGUGCAAGCGUUGUUCGGAUUUAUUGGGCGUAAAGCGCGUGUAGGCGGUCUUUUAAGUCUGAUGUGAAAGCCCCGGCUCAACCCGGGAAGUGCAUUGGAAACUGGGAGACUUGAAUACGGGAGAGGGUAGUGGAAUUCCUAGUGUAGGAGUGAAAUCCGUAGAUAUUAGGAGGAACACCGGUGGCGAAGGCGGCUACCUGGACCGAUAUUGACGCUGAGACGCGAAAGCGUGGGGAGCAAACAGGAUUAGAUACCCUGGUAGUCCACGCCGUAAACGAUGAGUACUAGGUGUUGCGGGUAUUGACCCCUGCAGUGCCGCAGCUAACGCAUUAAGUACUCCGCCUGGGAAGUACGGUCGCAAGACUA
rnacentral:rRNA from 1 species